GGUGUUUUGGCUCAAUGGUAGAGUGCUUGCAUAGCAUGCAUGAGGCCCUGGGUUGCAUUCUCAACACCACCU
rnacentral:tRNA from 1 species